UCAUAACAGCGUUUUGUAAUUCUCAUUUCUCCAAUAGAAAAUUAUAGAAAUUUUACGAAAAUGCGAGAUACUAACAGUUAAAAUACUCAUGUUUUUUUCAGUUGUUAGAAAUCAAUUUCCAUAAACUUUUGACUUUUUACGCUAAGAUCAAAAUGUCAGCGAGUAAGUUGGAUGCAGUUUACCGAAGUUUUCUUAUAACCAAAUUUUUUACAAAGGGUUGGGGAAAACCAGAAAAUUUACGAAGGUUAUUCGAGUUCAGGAAAGUAGUUUCGAAUCGUGAUGAAUGUUUUAAACUUGUAGAGAAAGAUUACCCUGUUACUAUAACGAAGGAACAAAAGUUGGCAGAUUGUAGACUUCUUGAGGGCUUCUUCAUAACUCCACUGGAACGGUAUCUGCCGGGGAUCGUACCUGAAAUUGCACAGAAGGCUCAUUUCCAGAUCUUAUUGCCAGAAAAAUGGCAGGAUCCAAAUUACAAGCCCGUGUGUUUACACUUAGCUGGCACUGGAGAUCAUUUCUUUUGGAGAAGAAGAAAUCUCAUGGUGAAACCUUUGCUAAAAGAAGCUGGUAUUGGUGGAAUAAUAUUAGAAAACCCUUUCUAUGGUCUAAGGAAACCGGUUGAUCAAGUGCGGUCCUCCUUACACAAUGUAUCUGACAUAUUUGUGAUGGGUGGAUGCCUUAUUCUGGAAUCUUUGGUGCUAUUUCACUGGUGCGAACAAAACGGUCUGGGACCUCUUGGUGUUACCGGUUUAUCUAUGGGUGGCCAUAUGGCAUCACUGGCAGCUACGAAUUGGCCAAAGCCUCUAGUACUGGUUCCUUGCCUUUCUUGGUCUACUGCAUCUGCGGUAUUUUUGCAGGGAGUUAUGUCACAUUCAAUAAACUGGGAUCUUCUGGAGGACCAGUACCUAUCUGAUGGCGUGUACAGAGAAAAACUUUCUAAAAUGGUAACAGUUAUAGAUGAAGCCUUCUUGGCGGGAAAGAAAUUUGUACAAUCAUAUUCGAGGAACAUACAAAAGGAAAAUAUAAACAGUGAACCAGAAAAUAAUAUAAAACCGGAAACUCAUGUAGAAAAUGUAGAGACUAAACCAGCGACUGCCAAGGAAACUGAUAAUAUAAUAGAUUUGAAUAGAAAUAUUAUUUUAAAAACUAAAAUACCUCCUGAGGCGAAUGAUGAUUUGAAAGUGGAACUAACCAAUCUAUUGAAUGAAAAUAAAAUCUCUAAGCAGCUUUAUGAUAAGCUAUUAUCAAAUAGAAAUUUUGAGCUUGAGCCGCAAGAUAUUGAGAUUUUAAAUAAUUUAAAUAAGGAACAUAUUAGAGAAAGAGUUUUAUUAAAAUGUAAAGUCCAAAAGAAAGAAGUCAAUCAUUUUUCAGUGGAAACCAAGAAGUCGCUUGAAAACAAGGGAACAGCAACAGUACAUGAAAAACUGCAUACCACUGACAAAAUUAUAGAAACCACGCAAACGACACGUGCCAACGAACUCAUGUUAUCUAAAAAUGUCGACACGAAAAUAGAGAAGAAACCAUGGAAUGUAUCGGAUCUAGCCACAGACUUUUUAGUCAGUUUGCCAUUCCUGAAAACACAUGAGAAAAAAAUUGACAUAAGCAAAAUUAAUUGGAGGGACAGAGAGGCCUUGCAGUUUAUGCGGGGUAUCAUGGAUGAGUGUACGCAUCUCAGCAAUUUUUCAGUGCCAUUUGAUACGUCGCUUAUUAUUGCUGUAUGCGCAAAACACGACGCGUACGUGCCACGCGACGAUGUGGGCACACUGGAGGAGAUCUGGCCGGGCGCGGAGGUACGCUACGUCGACGCCGGACACGUCUCCGCCUACAUCCUGCACCAGUCGCUCUUCAGGUAGUGUAUAGAUGGGGCAUGUCGAGGACGCGGUCAGCGGGCACGCUGGAGGAGAUCUGGCCGGGCGCGGAGGUACGCUACGUCGACGCCGGACACGUCUCCGCCUACAUCCUGCACCAGUCGCUCUUCAGGUAGUGUAUAGAUGGGGCGUGUCGAGGACGCGGUCAGCGGGCACGCUGGAGGAGAUCUGGCCGGGCGCGGAGGUACGCUACGUCGACGCCGGACACGUCUCCGCCUACAUCCUGCACCAGUCGCUCUUCAGGUAGUGUAUAGAUGGGGCAUGUCGAGGACGCGGUCAGCGGGCACGCUGGAGGAGAUCUGGCCGGGCGCGGAGGUACGCUACGUCGACGCCGGACACGUCUCCGCCUACAUCCUGCACCAGUCGCUCUUCAGGUAGUGUAUAGAUGGGGCGUGUCGAGGACGCGGUCAGCGGGCACGCUGGAGGAGAUCUGGCCGGGCGCGGAGGUACGCUACGUCGACGCCGGACACGUCUCCGCCUACAUCCUGCACCAGUCGCUCUUCAGGUAGUGUAUAGAUGGGGCAUGUCGAGGACGCGGUCAGCGGGCACGCUGGAGGAGAUCUGGCCGGGCGCGGAGGUACGCUACGUCGACGCCGGACACGUCUCCGCCUACAUCCUGCACCAGUCGCUCUUCAGGUCGUGUAUAAAAGAGGCGUUCGAGCGAUCCAA